GAUUGGCUGGGGCUGGACUAGAGGGGUCAGGAGAAGUGUAUAUAUAGCUGAGUACUAGUCAAUUUGGGUUAGUCUGUAGUGGCCAGAAGGAGGCAGCAGAGGAAGAAGGAAGAAAACCUGGAAGGAAGCCAGAGUUGCUUUGUUGUUUGAAGACUUGCCGGGGUAGCUGAAUCACUUGGCUUAGGAUGAAGAGAUGAGGGGAAGAAUCACAGAGAGAGAGCAAUUGAGAGGUAGUUUGGAAUACCAAGCUCUGGUGUCUGGUAGGAGACCCAAAGGAAGAUUACACAACAGGGCAGCAAAAUCAGAGCUGUGCUUUAGAAGAUUUGGUUCCAGCUACACCAUUCCAUCAAGACCGUCAGCCAGGAGCUAGGAUUGCAGCAUAAAACACCAAUCCUGAAGGCAGCAGUGAACUGAAUAUGGUUGAACUCAUCUCAUCUAACACCUGCUAGUUGAGGGAAAAAUCAUUGGGAAGGAGAAUUUCACAGCAUCAGAAUACAUGGGAAAUGCUAGGACCUCAGUUUUCACUGCAUUGAAAAACACAUCACUCUU